UUCCGAUCUUGAAAACAAUUAAUGCAACUGAUUCAACCAAAUAUGCCAAUCAAGCUCCUGUUAGAUCAACAAAGUAUGGAAUUCGAUCAGUGUAAAGUUUUUGGUGGCUAGAUUCAUGUACGUAUUUUAUAUGAAGUAUC